GGGCGCUGCAUGCAAUCUCUUCCUGCUAGUAAACAAAGGCUCAACUUUUUGCCACCAUAUCCUGCUUUCCACCUCCAUCUCCCUGCAUAGGAAUCCUUUGAAUUAUUGGUCUCAUAUUGCAAGGACCACUAGAAGUAGCUCAAGUGCUCCUGGCUGAAAUUCCAGAGGAUCUAAAACUUUAUCGACAUCACAGCAAGUUAAGAUGUGGUGAAGCAGUGGAGAAAAAUAAAUACCUGAUUACUGCUGACCAAAGGGAAUAUCAACAAGAACUGAAAAAGAACUACAACAAGUUGAAAGAGAACCUCAGACCAAUGAUUGAGAGGAAGAUCCCAGAGCUGUAUAAACCUAUUGUGAGAGUAUUUCAAGGGGCUCUUUCCCUAAUUCUAGUUUUAGGAAAUAUGAAAAUCUGCCUCCACAGAACAGUUAAAAGCAGCAUCAUGAAAGGGAGCUAUCUACUUGCAGUGGA